ACAAUGGGCGCGGCGCCCGAGCCCCUGACAGCGCCAUAAAUUGGCCGUGCAAAGCCGAGCGCUAGGUGGUCCCCCCUGGAGAAAAGAGCCGCCGCCGAGGGCGCGAAAAGGCGAGUCCGGAAGCCCGCCAGGGAGCCAGUGGCGCGUUUUCCAGAUCACCCUGUUGGAACUUAGCGUAGCAGAGGAAGAACACCAUGGAAUAAGGAGAAAGGAGAUACAAGUAGCCUCUCCAGGAAGAAUGUGACUGAAUACUUUUUAUACAAAACCACAAAAUUAGAUAAAUAUGUAUUUAAGUGUUAUUCCUGAAAGCUGGAGAAAGAAAUCUUACUUCUAAGAAUUGUUUAGCGAAGGAAUAAGAAAAUGUGAUGCUUGGAAGAAAAAACACACUGCCGAGAGGCCUUGCGCUGAGUGUGCUGAACAAUAGACAACCUCUAAGGAUGCUCGCCUGCAAUUCCGGCUCUGCCAUCAAUUCACUGUAUGCCUUUGGAAACUUGAAAAUUACACAUCUGACUUAAGUCUGUGGGAGCCACAGUGCUCUAGAGGGUCUUGCACUGGCAAUUGAAUGCUGCACCUCAUUGGCUAGAAUCAGUCACAUGACCACACCCAAUCUCAGGAAGGCCAGAAAAUGCAAUCCCACAAUGCAGCUGGAAGACAGCUAACUGGAAAUCAAUGCUGAGAAGUCCUAAGAAAUGCCACAGGAAGAGAAAGAGGCAGGGGGCCGGCAGAGGCCAGAACAAAUUUUGGAAAGUAUAUUUAAGAUCAUCUGGGUUAAAUACGUGUUACCCGACAUCCAAAAAUUACUUGGAAAGCCCUUGAGAAUACCUCCAGGAUCUAAGCAGUCAACCUCUAAAGCAACCAUUAAUAAAAUGGAGUCAUGAGACUGCCCUAUAACAGCUUGUGGAGAAAGAAAUGUCUCGCAUAUCACAAUAGUGUGGACAAAGAAGAUCAGCAACAAUUUGGGCAAAAUACAUACACACACGCACAUACACACACACACACACACACAAAGACAGACAUUCGCUAACUUUGGUUUGCUAUUGAGCUGCUUCUUAUCUGGGCAAUUCUACAUAGUACACUCUAGGAUACCAAGCAACUAUUUGGGCAAAAUACACACAUACACAUACAAAUACACACAUACACAUACAAACACACACACACACAUACACAGGCAGACAUUCGCACACUUUGAUUUGCUAUUGAGCUGCUUCUUAUCUGGGCUACUCUGUGUAGUACACUCCGUGGUGAGAAGCAACAGGGAUUUAUUGAUUGAUCAGUCAAUGAGUAUUGUUCUCCUGAGAAAAGCUGAGAGGUCGGCAAGUGCACGCAAAUGUGCAGAUCAUCUACAAGACAUGAAUGAUGUUCAGAAUUACUUGUCAUGCCCUUUGCUUGGGGCUGAAAACAAGAUGCAGUCACACAGAUUUCAAUGGAGUGUGUACUCUAGAGGCAGACUGCCUGGGAUCAAAAUGCUUGCAGUAUAACCAUUGACAGCUUCCAUAACUUAUCUCUUCCCAGGUUAAUCAACCUGUAAAAUGGGGUAAUAUCUGCUCCUCCCUCAUAGGGUUGUGCAUAAAAAUCUCAUGAGAUUAUAGGUGUAGAGAGUAUGCAACUAAGACAUGCCUGAGUGAAGUUUCCUAGGAGCCAGAUAAUUAAUCCAACAUUUAUCUGAAAUGCUGAACUAACUUGCAUAAUUCUUCAAAUGAAUAUCACACCUUCGAUGGGGACAUACAAAUUGUUUCAACCUGAGGCUUGAAAAUAUGUGUCAUAAAGCAUUCUGAUUUAUCAAGAACACGUUGUAAUUUGUUGCAUUUGGAAUGUAGCUACCUAACUUCCUGAAUAUUUUAAUAAAAUACCUGUAAAAUUACACAAUCAAAACUAUACCUCCACCAAGCAAAGUGACAGAGAUGGUACUAACAUCAACAAAAAGAAUCUUUCCAACCAUGUAAGGUUGUAAUGUUAAAUUCCCAUUCACGAUCAAAAUUCCACAUAUUUACAACCUGCAAACAUCCCAAAUUCACACUUCAACAUCUGUGUGGCUGCCAACUUCUACUGAAAUCUGUAGCAUGCUUUUUUAGAAGUGGAGGAAAAAAGAAUAAAAAA
rnacentral:lncRNA from 1 species